rnacentral:rRNA from 1 species
AUUGAACGCUGGCGGCAUGCCUUACACAUGCAAGUCGAACGGCAGCACGGGUGCUUGCACCUGGUGGCGAGUGGCGAACGGGUGAGUAAUACAUCGGAACGUACCUUAUCGUGGGGGAUAACGCAGCGAAAGCUGUGCUAAUACCGCAUACGCCCUGAGGGGGAAAGCGGGGGAUCGAAAGACCUCGCGCGAUUAGAGCGGCCGAUGCCUGAUUAGCUUGUUGGUGGGGUAAAAGCCCACCAAGGCGACGAUCAGUAGCUGGUCUGAGAGGACGAUCAGCCACACUGGGACUAAGACACGGCCCAGACUCCUACGGGAGGCAGCAGUGGGGAAUUUUGGACAAUGGGGGCAACCCUGAUCCAGCAAUGCCGCGUGAGUGAAGAAGGCCUUCGGGUUGUAAAGCUCUUUUGUCAGGGAAGAAACACCGGCUCUAACACAGUCCGGGAAUGACGGUACCUGAAGAAUAAGCACCGGCUAACUACAUGCCAGCCGCCGCGGUAA